CCCUGAACAUGUGAACUUAGCGACGUUGACUCUGAAUGCAAGACACAAGGGAUGCAGUUGAAAGGAAGAAGUUGAUGGGGUUGUAUCGACUUGGAAUGACCACAGAGUCCAUCAAGUCCACAACUCUCAUUCACCUCAUGGACGUCCCUCCAUAUUACAUGCAGUCCCUCAGCUGUACGGAGGCAGAGACUAUUUGCAGAAUGUGGACCUGGAGAAAGUUGAAGUCUGCCUUGAAGAGUGUAUGUUCAAAGACUUUCCAUGUGAUGAGGAUGUGUUUCACAUUUGUGUGGACCUAAUGUCAGAGCAUAAUCUGUCAUUAACAAAUGUGUUUGAAACAGUUAACCUGUAUCUCACACUCAGACAGCUGAUAAACAAUGAUCUUGGUGUAAAUCAUUAAUUUUAUUGGACGCGGUCUUGUCACCUGUUGUAAGAUGAGAUAGUACUGUAUUCAAGCAUCCCGUAACAUCCACAACAAGAUACACAUACACAUGAUGUCAAGGUUGCCAUGGUCGUGGACACCUCAACAGGCACAGGCCAUUUCAGAGAUGUCUUUUUGUUUUUUCCUUUGCCCAUUUUAUUCACAAUUUGAAAUAUUGCAGUUUAACUGAUUGCCAAUUAAAAUGUUUUUUUUUUUUACUUGUAAUACCUGCUUUAAAAGAUGUAGCUUCUUAUUUUCACAUCAAAUGUAUUAGCAGUCAAGUUAUUUUGUUCUACCAUUCAACAUUUGCAAAUAUGAAUAAAAAUGCAAAAUCCUAACAA